rnacentral:rRNA from 1 species
UACGUAGGUGGCAAGCGUUGUUCGGAAUUAUUGGGCGUAAAGGGCGGGUAGGCGGCCACCGCAAGUCAGUUGUGAAAUCUCCGGGCUUAACCCGGAAAGGUCAACUGAUACUGCGGGGCUAGAGUGCAGAAGGGGCAACUGGAAUUCUCGGUGUAGCGGUGAAAUGCGUAGAUAUCGAGAGGAACACCUGCGGCGAAGGCGGGUUGCUGGGCUGACACUGACGCUGAACUGCGAAAGCUAGGGGAGCGAACGGG